rnacentral:rRNA from 1 species
AGAACGAACGCUGGCGGCAGGCUUAACACAUGCAAGUCGAGCGCCCCGCAAGGGGGAGCGGCAGACGGGUGAGUAACGCGUGGGAAUCUACCCAUCUCUACGGAACAACUCCGGGAAACUGGAGCUAAUACCGUAUACGUCCUUCGGGAGAAAGAUUAUCGGAGAUGGAUGAGCCCGCGUUGGAUUAGCUAGUUGGUGGGUAAUGGCCUACCAAGGCGACGAUCCAUAGCUGGUCUGAGAGGAUGGAUCAGCCACACUGGGACUGAGACACGGCCAGACUCCUACGGGAGGCAGCAGUGGGGAAUAGUUGGACAAUGGGACGAAAGCCUGAUCCAGCAUGCGCGUGAGUGAUGAAGGCCUAGGUUAGUAAAGCUCUUUCGAACCGGUGAAGAUAAGUGAACGGUAACGGAAGAAGAACGCCCGAUAACUUCGUAGCCGAGCAGCCGAC